UAAUCUCACACAUACAACACCUAAAACACACACUAGUUCACGCCAUUUUCAUUUUAGUUUGAGCUCAAGCUUUUGACCUCCGAUUUGAGCACCGAGACGAGCGCCGAUCAUUUUUUCGAUCACGUAUCUAAGUAGGUUGAGCUGAUGUGAUGAUGGUGCUGCAAUGAGCGGAGUCUCCAGGGUUGUUAAUAAAUAGUUAACCUGUCUAGAAUAUGUCUUCAUACAUAUGUCUAGCUACUUUCCGCUGCAAGAUGUUGUUGAUGUUAUAGUAUGUUAUGUCAUACUUUGAGUCUUAAGAGAAUGGUUUCAUACGAUGUAUAACUUGAUUAAUGAUAUUAAUUAAGUUUUAUGCUGUCUUUCAUAGACUGUUUUCAAUUGAGUAUUAAUGAAUAAAAAUGACGAGUUUUAUUAAGAUGAGUAAGUUUUACGGCUAUAAAUGACGCCCCUUUUCUUCCCCUUCUUCUUUAACCCCAUCCCUAGUCGUGGAUCACUCGGCCUAACUAUCCAUAGUUAGGGCGGGCUGUGACAGAGUGGUAUCAGAGCGAAGGAAAGCUCUGAAUUAGAAGUCUUGAGUUUAGUCUAGAAUGAGUCACUAGACUAAUAGUUAUUAACAACCGUGAGCUCAGCGCACCAUCACACCAGGCUCAACGAGGUAUGUAAAAUUUCAAAGUUUAUUUGACGUUAAAUUUUGAAGAGCACGAUGUUGAGGUUAUAUGAUGAGUUAUGAUGUUAUGCUUUGAAGAUGCAUAGUUUGAGUUUGAGGAUGACAACAUGAUUAAUAAUGAGUUAUUAUGUUGUAAGAGCAUAUGUUGACGUUACAUGAUGAAUCAUGAGAGCGUUUAUAUCA